CGGCCCGUGACUCAGUUCCACUUCCACCUAUGUUCCCCCUCGUUUGGUUAUCCGGAGGAGCAUGCUAGGCGGCAGGGGAGGCGCAUUCAUUGGAGGUUAAUCAUGGAGAUGGCACGGAUCUGAGCGGAGGAGUGAGUUGCUGGUCUAGAGGCGGAGGGGAAUCUCCGGCAGGUCUGGGCCUACGGCACCGGCACGAGCACUGCCGGCGGUGCUAUCCCGCGCGGGGUACCCGGGAGCGCAUCGCCGCUGGUUAUCUCCUGCGCCGGCGGUGUUGUGCGGAUCCACCAAGGUCAUAACAAGCAUAUGGAGAAGGAAGGGAGCUGAGUAGCUGCAUCGGUUGCUGGAUUGGGAAGAGGAGGGGAAACAUCAGAUUCCGGCGGAGCGGCAGGCGGACAUAGAAGUGCACCGCCAACGAGGAGAUCAGCAGCCGGUGGGUGUUCUCUGGAGCCAUCAGGUAAAUCUAUGUUUCAUUAACUUUGGGGGCGAACCCUAUAUUGCAGUUUGGGGAUUUUUAAGUUGCAGGUGCCACUGCCACCGCCGGCUAGAUUUGUAUUGUCUGGCGCAGAUCCUGGAGUUGACUAGCCCUUAUGUAUCUUCUAUGUAGCCAGAGUUCAAGUGCAUCUUGCAGCGGCAUCAUGCAGGAUUCAGGCACACCAUGGCAUUUCCUGUCGAAAUACUGACAGUCUGAAUUCGACAAUAUGUAAAGCUCAUCAAUUCAUAAGGGCUAUUAACAGACUAAGGUGUGCCUAAAUGUAUCAUUGCUUUAGCCUGAUUUUUUUUUUUUUUGGUAUACAUGCACACUGCCCAAAAUGCGUUGAAUUUAGGCUGAAUGGAUUUAGUGCCAGAUGGAGCACAAUAGAUGUUGUGUUUUGCCUCUAGGUAUUUUUUUUUAUCUUUCCAUUCAUUUGGGUUUCAUAAACCAGCUGGGUCAUGACUUCCGAUGUUCAGUACAAAAGGUUCAUUUAGUGAUAUCGCAGUUUGACCAGCGCCGGCGGUGAGCAGAUGCAAGUGAACUUUGCGAAGAAGGUGAUCUGACUUGACCGCGCCAUUGCUAUAUUCGACUCUGGAUACAAAUCUUGUACAGCUUGACGGGAGGCAGAGAGCAGACCAGAGUCAGUCCAACCUGGAUAAUCAUGCAGGUACGUAUUCUUGCCCCAGUAUCAGUCGCAGUGUACAUGGGCUUGGUUGUGAAAGCUCUUGGCGCCGAUGACUAGACUUUGCAGAUUGCAUCUCUGAUGUGCAAAGUACAACCAUGUACUCCUUGGAUGCAAGAUACUACAACAUUGGUUGUUUUUGUUCAGUGGAGAGUGCGACACGAUUGAUGAUGUGUGUAGCACGAUUGCGACAAUACCUCCAUGUCCAUCUAUUCUAAUGUUUAUGGAAAUUAUACUGAUUUGAA